rnacentral:rRNA from 1 species
AAUAUUGCACAAUGGGGGAAACCCUGAUGCAGCAACUCCGCGUGAAUGAUGAAGGCCUUUGGGUCGUCCCAUUCUGUUCUUAGGGAAGAAAAAGAUGACGGUACCUAAGGAGAAAGCCCCGGCUAACUACGUGCCAGCAGCCGCGGUAAUACGUAGGGGGCGAGCGUUAUCCGGAAUUAUUGGGCGUAAAGAGUACGUAGGCGGUUUUGUAAGCGCAAGGUGAAAGGCAGUGGCUCAACCAUUGUAAGCCUUGCGAACUGUGAGACUUGAGUUCAGGAGAGGAAAGCGGAAUUCCUAGUGUAGCGGUGAAAUGCGUAGAUAUUAGGAGGAACACCAGUGGCGAAGGCGGCUUUCUGGACUGAAACUGACGCUGAGGUACGAAAGCGUGGGGAGCAAACAGG